rnacentral:ncRNA from 18 species
ACUUAUAUAAACUAACAUAUUGGGUUAGUGUUUCUACCUCUUAACCAAUUAAGAGACUAUAAGU